GGCAAAAUGAGGAAGUCUUACCAUCUGAAAGUCUACUAUUGUGGAUAAUGCAUAUAUGGUCUUCAAAGUUCUCUGAUUGCU